rnacentral:rRNA from 1 species
UGCGUAGGGGGCGAGCGUUGUCCGGAUUUAUUGGGCGGAAAGAGCUUGUAGGCGGUUUGUCGCGUCUGCUGUGAAAUUUCGGGGCUCAACCCCGAACUUGCAGUGGGUACGGGCAGACUAGAGUGUGGUAGGGGAGACUGGAAUUCCUGGUGUAGCGGUGAAAUGCGCAGAUAUCAGGAGGAACACCUAUGGCGAAGGCAGCUCGCUGGGACGGUACUGACGCUGAGGCGCGAAAGCGUGGGGAGCGAACAGG